UACGAAGGGGGGCUAGCGUUGCUCGGAAUCACUGGGCGUAAAGGGUGCGUAGGCGGGUCUUUAAGUCAGGGGUGAAAUCCUGGAGCUCAACUCCAGAACUGCCUUUGAUACUGAAGAUCUUGAGUUCGGGAGAGGUGAGUGGAACUGCGAGUGUAGAGGUGAAAUUCGUAGAUAUUCGCAAGAACACCAGUGGCGAAGGCGGCUCACUGGUCCGGUACUGACGCUGAGGUGCGAAAGCGUGGGGAGCAAACAGG
rnacentral:rRNA from 1 species